GAAUGAGAGUGGCGCACGGGUGCGUAACGCGUAUGCAACCUACCUGUUACAGGGAGAUAGCCCGGGGAAACUCGGAUUAAUAUCCCAUAGGAUAUAUUAACUGCAUGGUUUAUAUAUUAAAGCCUUCGGGUGGUAACAGACGGGCAUGCGUAGGAUUAGCUAGUUGGAGAGGUAACGGCUCACCAAGGCGACGAUCCUUAGGGGUUCUGAGAGGAAGGUCCCCCACACUGGCACUGAGAUACGGGCCAGACUCCUACGGGAGGCAGCAGUAGGGAAUAUUGGUCAAUGGGCGAGAGCCUGAACCAGCCAUGCCGCGUGCAGGAAGACGGCGUUCUGCGUUGUAAACUGCUUUUAUCUGGGAAGAAAAAGCCCUUGCGAGGGAAAUUGCCGGUACCAGAAGAAUAAGCACCGGCUAACUCCGUGCCAGCAGCCGCGGUAAUACGGAGGGUG
rnacentral:rRNA from 1 species